UUUAUUCUUUUAUUUUUUUUACUCUUUCUUUGUUGGGCUACUUGCUUGCUUCAAAACCUUCAACUUGUCAGUUCUUAGCGGAAACCAGUCGAAAAUCGUUUCGCCUGAAGAACACAUCACGCUCACUGGGUUACCAUCUCCUGCAUCCUUGAAUUCUUAUAUCUCCGUUUUGCAUUUCUUGCUGCGAUUCAUUCUCCAUACGAUAUUUCGAUUGGAGUAAACACGUUUUUGUUUAUCAAUCGCUAAGCCAGUGCCCUAGCCCUACCAAUUAUAGCGCGUGAAUUCUGAGGAGAAGGGACUCAAGGGAGCUGAUGGAAGAUGGAAAGCAUAAAUCAAGGAGAGAAGAUUCUGAGGUGAAGGAAGAUGAUUCCAAGAGGAGCCACCGUGACAGGGGCGGGGAAAAGGAUAAGGAUAGAAGCAAUGGGAAGCAUAGGGAUAGGGAGAAGAGGGACCGCGACCGGGAUAGCAGAAGGCAUGAUAGAGAUCAUAGUAGUGAUGAUUCUGAUGAUAGGUAUGAGAGGGAGAGGGAGAAGGAGAAGCGCAGAGAUAAAGACAAGGAAGAAAGAAGAGCUCGCGAGAAGAAAAGAGAAAGGGAGAGGGAAAGGGAAAAGGAAAGGGAAAAGGAAAGGGAGAGGGAAGAAAAGGAGAGGGAAAGGAGAGAAAGGGCGAAGGAGAAAGAAAGAGAGAGAGAAAGAGAAAGAGAAAGGAGGGAAGAUAGAGAGAGGGGGCGGGAGAGGGAACGUGAGCGUGAAAAGGAUAAGGAUAGAAGGGAGCGUGAGAGAGAGAAGGAAAUUGAAAGAGAAAGGGGGAGGAGAGUGCGCGACCGGGAGAAGCGUAGGGAAGUUGAUAGUGAUUAUAGUGAUGAUGAUUCUAGGGAGAGGGAGAGAGACAGGAAGAGGCACAAGAACUCGGAUGCCAAGGUGAAGGAGAGAAAACCUACUCAUGAAGAGGAGAUAGAGGAAGAACACAAAAGAUUGGAUGAAGAAAUGGAAAAGAGGAGGAGAAGAGUUCAGGAGUGGCAAGAGCUGAGGAGGAAGAAGGAAGAAGCUGAGAGAGAAAAGCAGGGUGAAGCAAGUGCUAGUGAACCAAAGUUGGGAAAGGCCUGGACCCUUGAAGGGGAAUCUGAUGAUGAAGAAGCAACUGGUACAGGGAAGCCAGAUACUGCGAUGGAUGUAGAUGAAGAUGAAAAACCUGUUGAUAAAGAGCCUGGGGAUCCUAUGGUGGCAGAUGGUGAUAAUGGGGCAAUUACGUCUGAUUUACAAGAAGGAACUGCUGGUGCUCCUGAGGAUGAGGAAAUUGAUCCAUUGGAUGCCUUCAUGAAUUCUAUGGUUCUACCUGAAGUUGAAAAGCUGAACAACACUGUUUGCUCUUCAAUACCUGAUAAAACUAAUGACAAGAAACUCAAGGAUAGAGGGGAUGAGCAGGGUCGUAGUGGACAGGCAAGGAAAGUUUCCAAUAAUAAAUCGAUUGGAAGAAUAAUUCCUGGUGAAGACUCUGACUCUGAUUAUUCAGAUCUUCAAGUUGACGAUGACGACAUUGAAGAAAAUGAUGAGGAGUUUAUGAAAAGAGUGAAGAAGUCAAAAGCUGAUAAGCUGUCUAUAGUUGACCAUUCAAAGAUUGAUUAUCAACCUUUCAAGAAAAAUUUCUACAUUGAAGUGAAGGAUGUCUCAAGGAUGACUCCUGAAGAAGUUGCUGCAUACCGGAAGGAGCUGGAGUUGAAGAUACAUGGGAAGGAUGUUCCAAAGCCAGUAAAAUCAUGGCAUCAGACUGGACUUACUAGCAAAAUUUUAGAGACAAUAAGAAAGCUUAACUACGAAAAGCCGAUGCCUAUUCAAGCCCAGGCACUGCCUGUAAUAAUGAAUGGUCGAGACUGCAUUGGCAUUGCUAAAACUGGUUCAGGCAAAACACUUGCUUUUGUUUUGCCUAUGUUGAGGCACAUCAAGGAUCAGCCACCAGUUGUUACUGGAGAUGGACCAAUUGGGCUUAUCAUGGCUCCUACAAGGGAGCUUGUUCAACAGAUUUAUAGUGAUAUAAAGAAGUUUGGGAAGGUACUGGGUCUAAGAUGUGUACCUGUGUAUGGAGGUUCUGGUGUUGCUCAACAAAUUAGUGAGUUGAAGCGUGGAGCUGAGAUAGUGGUUUGUACUCCAGGUAGGAUGAUUGACAUACUAUGUACCAGUGGUGGCAAAAUAACUAACCUGCGCAGGGUUACUUAUUUGGUCAUGGAUGAGGCUGAUAGAAUGUUUGACAUGGGGUUUGAACCCCAAAUCACAAGAAUUGUUCAGAAUAUCCGACCAGAUCGUCAAACUGUUCUAUUUUCUGCUACUUUCCCCCGCCAGGUUGAAAUUCUUGCCCGCAAGGUUCUAAAUAAACCUGUUGAAAUACAAGUUGGUGGCAGAAGUGUUGUGAACAAGGACAUAACACAGCUGGUGGAGUUGAGACCAGAAAAAGAAAGAUUUCAUAGGCUAUUAGAGAUAUUGGGUGAAUGGUAUGAGAAAGGAAAGAUUUUGAUAUUUGUCCAGUCACAGGAAAAAUGUGAUGCUUUGUUCAAGGAUUUGCUAAAGUCUGGUUAUCCUUGCUUAUCUCUUCAUGGAGCUAAGGACCAGACAGAUCGUGAAUCCACAAUUGCUGAUUUCAAAAGCAAUGUCUGCAAUAUGUUGAUUGCAACUAGUAUUGCUGCCAGGGGACUAGAUGUCAAGGAGCUUGAAUUGGUUAUCAAUUUUGAUGUUCCUAAUCACUAUGAAGAUUAUGUUCAUCGUGUUGGCCGCACUGGCAGAGCAGGCCGAAAGGGUUGCGCUAUUACUUUUAUUUCGGAGGAAGAAGCAAGAUAUGCACCUGAUUUGGCAAAAGCAUUGGAGCUAUCUGAGCAAGUUGUUCCUGAUGACCUGAAAGCACUUGCUGAUGGCUUUAUGGCAAAAGUGAAACAAGGGCUUGAGCAGGCUCAUGGAACUGGUUAUGGAGGCAGUGGCUUUAAAUUUAAUGAAGAAGAAGACGAGGAGAGGAGAGCAGCGAAGAAAGCUCAAGCCAAGGGAUAUGGGUUUGAAGAGGAUAAAUCAGAUUCGGAAGAUGAAGAUGAAAAUAUUAGGAAGUCGGGAGGUGACAUCUCACAGCUUGCUCAUAUUCUUGCUGCCUCAAAAGGAACUGUCCCUGCUAUACCUAGCCCCAUCUCUCCUGCUCAGCUGAUUUCUAAUGGUGGACUAACUGUUCCGUUGCCAGCUGUUCUUGGUAAUCUCCAAACUACUACAGUUUUGCCUACAGGGCUUCCCCUUACUACAAAUGAUGGGGCAGCUCGGGCAGCAUUAGCUGCUAUUAACCUGCAGCACAACUUAGCUAAGAUACAGUCUGAAGCAUUGCCUGAGCAUUAUGAAGCUGAACUAGAGAUAAAUGAUUUCCCUCAAAGUGCUCGGUGGAAAGUCACACACAAGGAAACCUUGGGUCCAAUUUCUGAGUGGACAGGAGCCGCUAUUACCACCAGGGGACAAUAUUUCCCACCUGGUAAAAUUGCGGGACCUGGGGAACGCAAGCUCUACUUGUUCAUUGAGGGUCCUAGUGAGCAGUCUGUUAAGAGAGCUAAAGCAGAGUUGAAACGUGUUUUGGAAGACAUCACAAAUCAAGCUUUACAACUUCCUGGUGGAUCUCAACCUGGCAAAUACUCUGUUGUUUAAAGGGUGUACUUCUGUUGCUACUUGGUGCCAAGGCAAAAUGCUUCAGUUAGUAAUCCUCCCCUUUCUCACCGACUUUGGACCAUGUUGUCAGUGUACCUUAUCCUGCUCAAUUCCUCUUCCUUCUUGUGCAUAUGGGCCUUCUGGGGCUUGCUUACAUCCUCAAUUUUGUCAUUGCCCAUACUUGACUUGUGGCUUUCAAUGGUGGCAAUCAUGGCACGGCAGCAGCGGUUUCUUUUUUUUCAUCCAGGUCCUGUUUAAUUUGAAGCAAGGAUCUCAAGACUCUUGUUUUGAUGCGUGUUGUCACUUUGUGCAUGAGUUGUAGGGUCCAUGAUACUAUUAAACUCUAUAUGUUCAUCUAAUUAUAAUGUUAUCUUUCAGGUUCUGGUUACAAGAUACUUUAUCAAAAAGAGAAAAGAUGUGAUGGGGGAAGAUUGAUGCAUUAGCCAUAGUCAUAGUUUGAAUUUCAUCAAAUGUAGAAAACAGGAUACCUUUCAAGUUUUCCAUUUAACAGGCAUCUAAACUAUCAUAUUUAUAGGCUCAAUAGCUUUAAUAUUGAUACCUUUUGCUUGUACCUUGUAUGGGAACUAAUGAGUUCAGUUUUUUCUUUCUAGGAUUGGUUGUUAGUGUUCCUUCUUCACUUAAAAUGUAGCAGAGAUGUAGCAUCUGCUACUUGAUAUUCUUAUCUUAUGUUGACCUGUUGUGAUUUAU